GAUGAAGAACGUAGCGAAAUGCGAUACGUAAUGUGAAUUGCAGAAUUCAGUGAAUCAUCGAAUCUUUGAACGCAUAUUGCGCUCUUUGGUAUUCCGAAGAGCAUGCUUGUUUGAGUAUCAGUAAACACCUCAAAACUUUUGAUUUAUUUUGAAAGUUUUGGACUUGAGCAAAUCCAACGCCUUUUUCACGAUUGGCGGCGGGUUGCUUGAAAUGCAGGUGCAGCUGGACAUUCUCCUGAGCUAUAAGCAUAUUUAUUUAGUCCCGUCAAACGGAUUAUUACUUUUGCUGCAGCUAACAUAAAGGGAGUUUGACCGUAUUGGCUGACUGAUGCAGGAUUUCACAGGAGUCGGAAACGAUCCCUGUCAAACUCGAUCUCAAAUCAAGUAAGACUACCCGCUGAACUUAAGCAUAUCAAUAAGCGGAGGA
rnacentral:misc_RNA from 1 species